rnacentral:rRNA from 1 species
AGAGUUUGAUCCUGGCUCAGAACGAACGCUGGCGGCGUGGAUAAGACAUGCAAGUGGGACGCUAAUCAAAGGGUAGCAAUAUUCGUUGGUUGGAGUCGCGUAAGGGUGCGUAACACGUGGGUAAUUUGCCGUGAAGCUUGGAAUAACUUGCCGAAAGGUAAGCUAAUACCGAAUGUGACUUGUGCUGGGCAUCCAGUAUCAGUCAAAGCCGGGGAUCGUAAGACCUGGCACUUCAUGAUAAGCCCGCGGCCUAUCAGCUAGUUGGUGAGGUAAUGGCUCACCAAGGCUAAGACGGGUAGCUGGUCUUAGAGGACGACCAGCCACACUGGAACUGAGACACGGUCCAGACACCUACGGGUGGCAGCAGUCGAGAAUUUUUCACAAUGGGCGAAAGCCUGAUGGAGCGACGCCGCGUGGGGGAUGAAUGGCUUCGGCCCGUAAACCCCUGUCAUUCGGGAUCAAAUCUGGCAACCUAACACGUUGUCAGUUGAUAGUACUGAAAGAGGAAGGGACGGCUAACUCUGUGCCAGCAGCCGCGGUAAUACAGAGGUCCCAAGCGUUGUUCGGAUUUACUGGGCGUAAAGGGAGCGUAGGUGGCAUUCUAAGUCUGGUGUGAAAGCUCUGAGCUUAACUCAGAAAUGGCAUUAGAUACUAGUUUGCUUGAGGAUUGGAGGGGAGAUUGGAAUACUUGGUGUAGCAGUGAAAUGCGUAGAUAUCAAGUGGAACACCAGUGGCGAAAGGCGAAUCUCUGGACAAUUCCUGACACUGAUGCUCGAAAGCUAGGGGAGCAAACGGGAUUAGAUACCCCGGUAGUCCUAGCUGUAAACGGUGCACGCUUGCUGUAGUGGAAUCGACCCCGCCUGUAGCGAAGCUAACGCGUUAAGCGUGCCGCCUGGAAGUACGGUCGCAAGAUUAAAACUCAAAGAAAUUGACGGGGGCCUGCACAAGCGGUGGAGUAUGUGGCUCAAUUCGAUGCAACGCG